CAGUGCUCGGCCGGGGCAGCAGUGAGGAGGACGUGUGUGCAGCCCGUGGCCACGCUCCUCAGCUAGGGGUUGCAUCUCCCUCACAGGUACGCGUGGUGAGCGUCUCGCUGGGACAGGAAGCGAAUACAUGCGGUGUGGCCUGAGGACUGUGCGAGAGCUCGAUAUGUGACUUUAGCCCAGUCAAUCAAUCCACUGAGCCAGUGACGCAGCCUGUUGAGGAAAAUGAACAGAUAACACCACCACCACCACCACCAUGCUGAACCUUCCCAAAACCACCCCAACCUCCAACUCUGCGUCUCAACUCAACCAGGCCUCGAGUCUCUUCCAUAUGCAUCAUCUGUGUGUGCAUCCGUCAGCCAGCUCCUCUGCUCGGCCAUCAUGGAGGGGCUGGCUGGCUGGGUGAUACACUUUCGUCCAGGGAACUGCAGUGGUCUUGUUGGAGGGACAUGAGACGACUGGGGACCAUCACGACACUCGCCGACAAGUGUCGACAGUUCAAAUCUCCAUUGUCGUCAUUUUUUGUAUUUUUGACAAGUCUGAAAGUUUGGUCAAUAAAGUUAUUGGUACAGACA